rnacentral:lncRNA from 1 species
CGUGUGUCUCAAGAUUGUGGCUAAGAGCCAUAGCCCUGGAGGAUGUACAGAAGCAUUGCUGUGGCUUAUGAGCCAUGGCCACUGUUGGGUCAGGAAGGACAUUGCUUUAAGGUCUCCUUGAUCUAGGAACACAGCCAAGGCCAAGAGGCCUGAGGUUCUCAGCAAAAGGGGGAGCCCAUCACCUAUGGAGAUAGGCAGCUGAGUUCAGGAGGAGAAGGAAGGAGGAGGGUAAGAGUGAGGGAAGACAUCAACUCAGGGUGGGUCCUUGGCUGUGGUUCUUUGGUUCCUUAAAGGUCACAGGUCAGCUGCAGUCUCCAGAGCUAUGGCAAGUGGAACAUCUAGAAGACUCGUGCUCACAGCAGUCAGAAUGCUGGGGCUGACGCAGGUAGAAUCGUGGAAACUGGAGUGAAACUAGAGAGCAGUGGCCUCCAAAUCCAGAAAUACAGCAACUGGGAACACAGCCUGAAAUUCUACAGUUGAAUAUGUGGCUCCAGAAGCCACAUCAUAAUAGCAGAGCAGCCCUGCUUUCCUGACAUAGGAGAGAUUCAGCAGUGAGUA